GGCUCAGGAUGAACGCUGGCGGCGUGCCUAACACAUGCAAGUCGAGCGAGAUGUAUAUGGACGAAACUUCGGUCUAGGAAAUAUAUUGAUAGCGGCGGACGGGUGAGUAACGCGUAGGCAACCUGCCCCAAACACAGGGAUAGCCUCGGGAAACCGGGAUUAAAACCUGAUGACGCCAAAGAGUCACAUGGCUCAUUGGCCAAAGAUUUAUCGGUUUGGGAUGGGCCUGCGUCUGAUUAGUUAGUUGGUGGGGUAACGGCCUACCAAGACGACGAUCAGUAGCCGACCUGAGAGGGUGAUCGGCCACAUUGGAACUGAGACACGGUCCAAACUCCUACGGGAGGCAGCAGUGGGGAAUAUUGCACAAUGGGCGAAAGCCUGAUGCAGCAACGCCGCGUGAGCGAUGAAGGCCUUUGGGUCGUAAAGCUCUGUCCUUGGGGAAGAAACAAAUGACGGUACCCAAGGAGGAAGCCCCGGCUAACUACGUGCCAGCAGCCGCGGUAAUACGUAGGGGGCAAGCGUUAUCCGGAAUUAUUGGGCGUAAAGAGUACGUAGGUGGUCUUUUAAGCGCAGGGUUUAAGGCAAUGGCUUAACCAUUGUUCGCCCUGUGAACUGGGAGACUUGAGUGCAGGAGAGGAAA
rnacentral:rRNA from 1 species